rnacentral:rRNA from 1 species
GACGAACGCUGGCGGCGUGCUUAACACAUGCAAGUCGAACGGAAAGGCCCUGCUUGCAGGGUACUCGAGUGGCGAACGGGUGAGUAACACGUGGGUGAUCUGCCCUGCACUUCGGGAUAAGCCUGGGAAACUGGGUCUAAUACCGGAUAGGAGCCAUUUUUAGUGUGAUGGUUGGAAAGUUUUUUCGGUGUAGGAUGAGCUCGCGGCCUAUCAGCUUGUUGGUGGGGUAAUGGCCUACCAAGGCGGCGACGGGUAGCCGGCCUGAGAGGGUGGACGGCCACAUUGGGACUGAGAUACGGCCCAGACUCCUACGGGAGGCAGCAGUGGGGAAUAUUGCACAAUGGGCGCAAGCCUGAUGCAGCGACGCCGCGUGGGGGAUGACGGCCUUCGGGUUGUAAACUCCUUUCGCUAGGGACGAAGCUUUUUGUGACGGUACCUAGAUGAGAAGCACCGGCU